AAUCAAUCUCAACUAACACUUCGUGUGUGAGUUGGAUUUGGAGGUCUGCCGUUGACUUGUUCACGGCUCCUCCUAAAUAUAUUAGCUGCUUGGUAAUGAAUACCGUUGGCUUGAUAUUAUGUCUAUGCUGCGGUUGAAUUAAUCCAGUGCUUCUAAUCGUCUUCGGACAACUAUUCUGAG
rnacentral:misc_RNA from 1 species